rnacentral:lncRNA from 1 species
UACCACCAAGUUCAUGGAGAUUUACUUUUAGAGGUGACUAGGUACAUGCAAUAGACAUGUUGAACUGAAAACUGAAAUAUAACAACCUAGAAAAGCUGAUACUCGUUACAUGAAAUACGGGGUAAUUAAAAGUUGAAACGCAUACCAAAUGCCAAGUGAGGUACGUUAGAAAUCAAUAUCAUCAUGAAAUCAAGUCCUUUGCAUGUAUGCUUCAAGCCUUCUCUUCUCACCUUUGUCAUAAAUCAUAUCAUUUGGCUGAUCUAGCAGAAGUAAUGUUUCCAUGUAGUAACGCAUAAAAGUUGGAACAUGCUCUGUUCCCUUUAUCCCAAGAUUAGUGAUGCGUUUUGUGAAGGGUUCAUAAAGAACAAGUGAUAUAUCAUCAUCAAAUGAUUCACAAUCAUCGUCUAAAAUUACAACUAAUUCACCACUCUUCCUAAACGCAUGUACUGCUAUUAUAUAUGCAUGUGGUGUGUUAAUAGUGAAUAGCUUUGUAAAGCUUCUUUCUGGAACACCACCACCACCACCACCAUCAUCAUCAUCAUCAUCAUCAUCAUCAUCCAUCCUCCAUACAAUGGUAGCAUCUCCAACCUCAUUGCGUUCAAGCACAACUAGCGACUCCCAUAGCUUAGACACGGACAAGCUAUACUCACCUUGGUAGUCUUCUAAAUGAGGUGGGAGGUAUAUUUCUUGAAACUCUUCACUUGUCAAAUCAAACGAAACAAUCAGAUUAGAAGACUCAAUUCCAGCAUCUGUCUUAAUCCUAUCAGUAGCAACCGAAUACAAAACUCCAUCUAUAACUAUGCUAUAAAAGUCCGAAAACUGAAUUGAUUUACGAGGAAGAUUGCUGCUGCCGCCAUAUGGACUUCUCCAAGCCCCUGUGCUAAGCGUAAAAACCUCAACCUGAUGAGGGAUGGAAGUUAUACUUUCAAUAUCACCAAACCACCUGUAGGGAUUAACAUAAUUGAUCUUGACAAUCUUAGG